rnacentral:snoRNA from 1 species
CCAACAUGAAUACCCAGAGAUGUCACUCUCCCUGGGCUCUGACCCAUAAUGCAUAGUCCCUUUCCACAAUGUUGGAAAAGAAGCUGGACCUAGAGUCAGUGCCUACACAUUUCUACAACUUCUCAGAGUCCUGUAGGCCAUGACUGAGGAGAAAAACCAUGCAGGAAAGUUAG